AGAACGAACGCUGGCGGCACGCCUAACACAUGCAAGUCGAGCGCCCAGCAAUGGGAGCGGCGGACGGGUGAGUAACACGUGGGAACAUGCCUUUCGGUACGGAACAACUGCGGGAAACUGCAGCUAAUGCCGUAUACGCCCUUACGGGGAAAGAUUUAUCGCCGAAAGAUUGGCCCGCGUCUGAUUAGCUAGUUGGUGAGGUAACGGCUCACCAAGGCUUCGAUCAGUAGCUGGUUUGAGAGAACGACCAGCCACAUUGGGACUGAGACACGGCCCAAACUCCUACGGGAGGCAGCAGUGGGGAAUCUUGGACAAUGGGGGAAACCCUGAUCCAGCGAUGCCGCGUGAGUGAUGAAGGCCUUCGGGUUGUAAAACUCGUUUCGACGGGGACGAUAAUGACGGUACCCGUAGAAGAAGCUCCGGCUAACUUCGCGCCAGCAGCCGC
rnacentral:rRNA from 1 species